CGACCUGUAGCUCAAUGGUGAGAGCGCCUGCCUUAUACGCAGUUGGUUGCUGGUUCAACUCCAGCCGGGUCGA
rnacentral:tRNA from 1 species